rnacentral:rRNA from 1 species
AGCUCCAAUAGCGUAUAUUAAAGUUGUUGCAGUUAAAAAGCUCGUAGUUGGAUCUCGGGUUCGGACUGGUUGCACGCCUCGCGGCGUAGCGACCCGAUCCGACCUGUUUUUCGGUUCUGCGCCCGGUUCUCUUAACCGAGUGCCGGGUGCGGCCGAGACGUUUACUUUGAAAAAAUUAGAGUGCUUAAAGCAGGCUCGACAGCCUGAAUAGUAGCGCAUGGAAUAAUAGAAUAGGACCUCGGUUCUAUUUUGUUGGUUUUCGGAGCUCGAGGUAAUGAUUAAGAGGGACAGACGGGGGCAUUCGUAUUACGGUGUUAGAGGUGAAAUUCUUGGAUCGCCGUAAGACGAACUACUGCGAAAGCAUUUGCCAAGAAUGUUUUCA